rnacentral:rRNA from 1 species
AGUCGAACGGCAGCACGGAGAGCUUGCUCUCUGGUGGCGAGUGGCGAACGGGUGAGUAAUGCAUCGGAACGUACCGAGUAAUGGGGGAUAACUGUCCGAAAGGAUGGCUAAUACCGCAUACGCCCUGGGGGGGAAAGCGGGGGAUCUUAGUGACCUCGCGUUAUUUGAGCGGCCGAUGUUGGAUUAGCUAGUUGGUGGGGUAAAGGCCUACCAAGGCGACGAUCCAUAGCGGGUCUGAGAGGAUGAUCCGCCACAUUGGGACUGAGACACGGCCCAAACUCCUACGGGAGGCAGCAGUGGGGAAUUUUGGACAAUGGGGGGAACCCUGAUCCAGCCAUGCCGCGUGUCUGAAGAAGGCCUUCGGGUUGUAAAGGACUUUUGUUAGGGAAGAAAAGCCGGGUGCUAAUACCACCUGGUGCUGACGGUACCUAAAGAAUAAGCACCGGCUAACUACGUGCCAGCAGCCGCGGUAAUACGUAGGGUGCGAGCGUUAAUCGGAAUUACUGGGCGUAAAGCGAGCGCAGACGGUUAAUCAAGUCAGAUGUGAAAUCCCCGAGCUCAACUUGGGACGUGCAUUUGAAACUGGUUAACUAGAGUGUGUCAGAGGGAGGUAGAAUUCCACGUGUAGCAGUGAAAUGCGUAGAGAUGUGGAGGAAUACCGAUGGCGAAGGCAGCCUCCUGGGAUAACACUGACGUUCAUGCUCGAAAGCGUGGGUAGCAAACAGGAUUAGAUACCCUGGUAGUCCACGCCCUAAACGAUGACAAUUAGCUGUUGGGACACUAGAUGUUUUAGUAGCGAAGCUAACGCGUGAAAUUGUCCGCCUGGGGAGUACGGUCGCAAGAUUAAAACUCAAAGGAAUUGAC